rnacentral:rRNA from 14 species
CGUACCUUUUGCAUAAUGGGUCAGUGAGUAAAUAAAUUCAGCUUGCUUAAUCGGAUACGUGGAGGCGAAGCAAAAGCGAGUAUGCAAAAUGCAUUCUGUUGGAUUUAUUUGACCCGAAACUAAGUGAUCUACCUAUGAACAGGUUGAAGAAAGCGUAAUUUCUUUUGGAGGACCGAACCGACGUCUGUAGCAAUAGGCGCGGAUGAUUUGUGGGUAGGGGUGAAAGGCCAAU